UACGAAGGGGGGCUAGCGUUGCUCGGAAUGACUGGGCGUAAAGGGCGCGUAGGCGGGUAUUUAAGUCAGGGGUGAAAUCCCAGAGCUCAACUCUGGAACUGCCUUUGAUACUGGGUACCUAGAGUAUGGAAGAGGUGAGUGGAAUUCCGAGUGUAGAGGUGAAAUUCGUAGAUAUUCGGAGGAACACCAGUGGCGAAGGCGGCUCACUGGUCCAUUACUGACGCUGAGGUGCGAAAGCGUGGGGAGCAAACAGG
rnacentral:rRNA from 1 species